GAUCCGACAGGUGACAGGUAUGCAUUCAGAUGAUGCAGCUCUAAAGAAGUGUAGUAUUUGGCACUAGGCUUCACGGAUUGUUCGAGAAGAAGGCUUCGGGGCAUUUUGGAAAGGCAACCUAGUGACAAUUGUACACCGGUUACCUUAUUCUGUCAUGAGCUUCUAUUCAUAUGAGCAAUACAAAAAGGUCCUCAGAAUGGUGCCUGGCCAAGACGACCCAAAUUAUGCUGGUGUUGUGUGAAUCUGCUUGGUGGUGGUUUGGAAGGAGUCACAGCGGCAUCUGUAACCUUACCCUUUGGACGUUGUUUCUCACUGAAUGCAUAGUACAAGUCUCAGAUGCAACCCUUUUUUUUGCAGGGCAUAUGCUGCUGUCUUAUUUCUAGAAAACUGGCGAAUGUUUUAUGAUAGUACUAGAUACCUUGCCGAGGAACUCGUGCUGUGUACUGUGAGGGUACUUGGUAGUAGUAAAUUUUUAGUAGCCUGAUGUGUCAUGGAUGUUUGGAACAUUGGCCUUGUCAUCGUCGGAGGGGACGAGAUGGCGCCAAACGAGUCCCAGCUUCGAAUUAAAACAAAUGAAUUUCCUCUAUCUUAUU